rnacentral:rRNA from 1 species
GACGAACGCUGGCGGCGUGCUUAACACAUGCAAGUCGAACGGAAGGGCCCUGCUUUUGUGGGGUGCUCGAGUGGCGAACGGGUGAGUAACACGUGAGUAACCUGCCCUUGACUUUGGGAUAACUUCAGGAAACUGGGGCUAAUACCGGAUAGGAGCUCCUGCUGCAUGGUGGGGGUUGGAAAGUUUCGGCGGUUGGGGAUGGACUCGCGGCUUAUCAGCUUGUUGGUGGGGUAGUGGCUUACCAAGGCUUUGACGGGUAGCCGGCCUGAGAGGGUGACCGGCCACAUUGGGACUGAGAUACGGCCCAGACUCCUACGGGAGGCAGCAGUGGGGAAUAUGGCACAAUGGGCGGAAGCCUGAUGCAGCAACGCCGCGUGCGGGAUGACGGCCUUCGGGUUGUAAACCGCUUUCGCCUGUGACGAAGCGUGAGUGACGGUAAUGGGUAAAGAAGCACCGGCUAACUACGUG